CGAAAGCCUGACGGAGCAAGACCGCGUGGGGGAUGAAGGCUCUUGGGUUGUAAACCUCUUUUUUCAGGGAGGAAUAAAAUGACGUGUACCUGAAGAAUAAGCAUCGGCUAACUCCGUGCCAGCAGCCGCGGUAAGACGGAGGAUGCAAGUGUUAUCCGGAAUCACUGGGCGUAAAGCGUCUGUAGGUGGUUUAAUAAGUCAACUGUUAAAUCUUGAGGCUCAACUUCAAAAUCGCAGUCGAAACUAUUAGACUAGAGUAUAGUAGGGGUAAAGGGAAUUUCCAGUGGAGCGGUGAAAUGCGUAGAGAUUGGAAAGAACACCGAUGGCGAAGGCACUUUACUGGGCUAUUACUGACACUCAGAGACGAAAGCUAGGGUAGCA
rnacentral:rRNA from 1 species